rnacentral:tRNA from 1 species
GCGGGUGUGGUGGAAUGGCAGACACGCAUGGCUUAGGACCAUGUGGAGCAAUCCGUGGGGGUUCAAAUCCCUUCACCCGCACCA